rnacentral:tRNA from 1 species
GGGGAUGUGGCGUAAAUGGUAAAGCGGUCGGGACAUGUUUCCCGGUGAUUGUGAGUUCGACCCUCACCAUCCCCA